GCUUGAGACCCUAAACCAUGAUUUUUGCUUGAGGACUUAACCCCACCUGCCCCUACUGAGAAGUUUUGUAUAAGAAGACACCUGCUUGUCACCUUGUGGAGAUGCUGUAUAUCGCCCUUGGUUUAAAUGCGCAGUUCCCUGCGGAAUCUCAUGCCCCAGAUUGAGAGCAUAUUUGGUCUAAUCCAGCUCCCUUUGAAAUCUAUGAGUGGAAAACCACACGAUCAGCUUGCAGAGCUGGCAUGCCAUAGAAAGAGAGGCAGAUGCUACAGGAAUAAAAGGAAAAGAAACCUGACAUGGAUGCAAAAUUGAGGUCUGAAUUCCCCAGUGGGAAUAAUGAGAGGGAAUGCUGGGAGAGAAGAAUGCAAUUGUAUUAGGCUCCGUCACAAUGGGAGAAUCAUAGAGUCGUAGAAUUGUAGAGCUGGAAGGAUUUGUUCUUGCAGAUGUAGUGGAGCAAAAAACAACAACUCAAAACACACUUGACACUUUUAAAAAAGGAGUGCUUUCACACUUCACAACAUGGGAAUGUGGCUAAUGGGAAUGUGGUGCAAAUUAUUUUUUAUUUUCUUUAUUAAAUGUCUAUAUGUCUUCAUCCAAGGACCACAGGGCGGUUCAUAACAUAAAAUGAAUCAGCUGAACCAAUCUGGUUCCUGCCUGUGUGUUUGCACUGCGUCACGCCUUGUCCUCAUGGUAAGCAGCAACAAUUCACCCACCAGGAGGUCAGGUAAGUGCCUCCGUCCCACCAUCCUGUCUGCUACUAGCUGUGGUGUCAUACCAGAAAUUCUGUUGCUUGUGACACUGUAGUAUUUUUGACACGGUUGGUGGUACCUAAAAUGUUUUGCUGUAGAUGAGUUCCCCAAAUCAACCAUGAAUGCAAAAAGAACCGCGGUGCCGUAAAACAAACGGCAAGAGCCAUACUAAGAAAUUGCAUUUUCCUGCAGCAGUGCCACUGUAAAUUCUUUUAUCAGUUCCCCUGUUAAUUAGAAUUGCUGUGUGUUGUCUAACAAUAGAAGAUUUCAUUAUGCCUUCUUCAGUAAUUAUAUAUUUUAACUAUAAAGUAUAGCCUAUAAAUAUCAGACAAAAACAAGCACCACCACCUUCUUUGGGUACAGUUAAGGUUGUAAAUAGACAUCCCUUUAGAACAACACUACACGGUGUGAAAAACUGAAGCUAACUACCAGCUUUGGAUACUGAGGUGAAGUUUAAAAGUUAUCCUUACCACAUUGUGAUGUGCUGGUAUAGGAAAUGAGCUG